ACGGGACACCUGCAUCUGCCAACAAGACUGGAAGCAGGUGAGGCACACAGAGGGGGAGGCCCGCAGCUGCGUGGGAGGAGGGGUGGUCUGAGGGACGUGGGAUGCCGGGAAUGAGGCUGGUUUGCAGGUUGGCGCAUGGACAUUUUCCCAGAAAGGGACAGAGACGGCGAAGUUUGACGGUCUGGAAAGCAGAGACCAGCAGGGCUGACUGCUUGGGAGCACCAAAUAUCCGGACAGCGCCUCUCGGGAGGUCCGAGAAGAGAACCGCGAUCUGUUUCAGCACCGGGGCUCAGGACAGUUCCCAGCGGGCUCCGUUUCGUCUCCAGAACCCUGGACAGCUCCUCCAGUAGAGACGGGGUUUCACCAUGUUGGCCAGGCUGGUCUCAAACUCUUGACCUCUUCAUCCGUCCACCUCAGCCUCCCAAAGUGCUAGGAUUACAGGCGUGAGUCACUGCGCCUGGCCCAAGUCCGGAAUUUUCAACAGGACAUGGGUGUUACUGUGCCCAUGUGACAUUUGGGGAACCCAAGGCCCUGAGAAAGGCAGAAAAAUAACCCACGCAGGGACUCUCAGCCCACAAGUGAAGCUCUUGGAAUGCACUCCCUCCACCUCCAACCAGAGCUCCCCACAACUGACCCUGCCUUCUUCUGCAAGCUCCAUUUCAUCAAGGGAAACGAUCCUUAUUGCCUCACCAUUUCCCACGUGAAGUCUGUAUUGACAUUCUCAUAGACCUGGGAUAUUGUGUCUGCAGCACAUAGUCCAAUUAUUUUCAUGUUAUCUACUGACAGGUCUAUUUGUCUCCCUGUUACACUGUGAGCUCCGUGAGGGCAGAAACAAUGUUAGUAUUUUCACUGCUGUGUCCCCAGCGCCUGGUCCGGGGCCCGGCACACAGCAGGCAUAUAAUAAGCAUGUGUUGAAUCAAUAAAGGCAUCAAAGAAUAAACCAA
rnacentral:lncRNA from 10 species